rnacentral:rRNA from 1 species
UUAAUAGUAAAAUCUGCUCAAUGACCUUUCAAUAGCCGCAAUUCGUGCUAAGGUAGCAUAAUCAUUUGUCUUUUAAUUUAAGACUAGAACAAAGGAUUUAACAUUUCCAUUAAUUUAUUUUUAUAAUAUUUUUAAAUUCUCUUAAAUGUAAAAAGACAUUUAUAAAAUAGAAAGACGACAAGACCCUAUUGAACUUAACUUUAGUUUAACUGGGGCAGUAAUUUAAUUAAAAUUUUAAUUAAAAAUUUUUAAUAAAAUUCCACUAACAAUUGAUUAAUUCAGUUACCAUAGGGAUAACAGUGCAAUUACAUUUUUAGAGGCCUUAUCUAAAAAUUAGAUUACAACCUCGAUGUUGAAUUAAUAACCUAAAUAAAGUAAAUUCUAAAUAAGGAAGUCUGUUCGACUUAUAAAUAAUUACAUGAUUUGAGUUCAGACCGGUAUAAGCCAGGUCGGUUUCUAUCUUCUAAAGAAUUUUUUGUAGUACGAAAGGACCUAAAAAUAUAAUUAAAUUAAUUAAUUGGCAGAAAAAUGCAUUAGAAUUAGAAUCUAAUUAAACUAAA